AACGCACGAGACCUGCGGACCUGCGGAAGGAUCAUUACAUGGCGGAGGAGGUGGGCACCCAGUAAAACAAAACCCUAGGUGUGUUGCCUACCACGCUUUCUACCCUUGUCUAUUUGCACCUUUUGUCGUUCCCUCGGUGGGUCUUGAACCUGCCGGCGGCAACUUUCAAAAACCUUUUGUAGUUAGUAUCUAAUUCUUCUGAUCAAAUAUUCAAUCGUUACAACUUUUAACAAUGGAUCU
rnacentral:misc_RNA from 1 species